UUGAACGCUGGCGGAAUGCUUUACACAUGCAAGUCGAGCGGCAGCGCGGGGUAACCUGGCGGCGAGCGGCGAACGGGUGAGUAAUGCAUCGGAACGUACCCAGUCGUGGGGGAUAACGAAUCGAAAGACUCGCUAAUACCGCAUACGUCCUGAGGGAGAAAGCGGGGGAUCGCAAGACCUCGCGCGAUUGGGGCGGCCGAUGUCGGAUUAGCUAGUUGGUAGGGUAAAGGCCUACCAAGGCGACGAUCCGUAGCUGGUCUGAGAGGAUGAUCAGCCACACUGGGACUGAGACACGGCCCAGACUCCUACGGGAGGCAGCAGUGGGGAAUUUUGGACAAUGGGGGAAACCCUGAUCCAGCCAUUCCGCGUGAGUGAAGAAGGCCUUCGGGCUGUAAAGCUCUUUCAGCAGGAACGAAACGGUGGCUACUAAUACUAGCUACUAAUGACGGUACCUGAAGAAGAAGCACCGGCUAACUACGU
rnacentral:rRNA from 1 species